AAUAAUUGGGAUGGGCCUGCCUCUGAUACCAUGAAAGAAUGGAUCUUGGGCCUAACUCAACCCCAAAAGCUAGCUUAUGAGGUGAGGAUUAUACAAGGCAUAUAAGGAGACCAAUGACCUAAAAUUCCUCCGAUGUGGGACAACUCAACACCGCUCCACCGGCAGUGGCCUCCUCCGCCGUAAGUGUGAUUCAGGCAUAAUGGAGAAGAUGAUGAAUUGGAACUGAUUAGCAGAGAACUUCUCUGUGAAGGUCAUGCUUUAUGAGCGUUUUUUGUUUUGGCUCUUAAUUAGUUUUUUUGGUGCUAGCUAUAUAUAGAUCAAGAAAAAAUGGUUAGGAAGUUAUG
rnacentral:lncRNA from 1 species